CUAGUUGGUGAGGUAAUGGCUCACCAAGGCGACGAUCCGUAACUGGUCUGAGAGGAUGAUCAGUCACACUGGAACUGAGACACGGUCCAGACUCCUACGGGAGGCAGCAGUGGGGAAUAUUGGACAAUGGGCGAAAGCCUGAUCCAGCCAUGCCGCGUGUGUGAAGAAGGUCUUCGGAUUGUAAAGCACUUUAAGUUGGGAGGAAGGGCAGUAAGCGAAUACCUUGCUGUUUUGACGUUACCGACAGAAUAAGCACCGGCUAACUCUGUGCCAGCAGCCGCGGUAAUACAGAGGGUGCAAGCGUUAAUCGGAAUUACUGGGCGUAAAGCGCGCGUAGGUGGUUUGUUAAGUUGGAUGUGAAAGCCCCGGGCUCAACCUGGGAACUGCAUCCAAAACUGGCAAGCUAGAGUACAGUAGAGGGUGGUGGAAUUUCCUGUGUAGCGGUGAAAUGCGUAGAUAUAGGAAGGAACACCAGUGGCGAAGGCGACCACCUGGACUGAUACUGACACUGAGGUGCGAAAGCGUGGGGAGCAAAC
rnacentral:rRNA from 1 species